rnacentral:rRNA from 1 species
CUCUUCGGGGAUGAUUAAACCGGCGCACGGGUGAGUAACACGUGAGUGACCUGCCUUUUAGACUGGAACAACUUACCGAAAGGUGAGCUAAUGCCGGAUGAGUUAUAUAAGUGCAUGUUUAUAUAGGAAAAGUUGGGGAGACCUGACGCUGAAAGAUGGACUCGCGUCCCAUUAGCUAGUUGGUAGGGUAAUGGCCUACCAAGGCGACGAUGGGUAGCCGGCCUGAGAGGGUGGCCGGCCACACUGGGACUGAGACACGGCCCAGACUCCUACGGGAGGCAGCAGUGGGGAAUUUUGCGCAAUGCUCGUAAGAGUGACGCAGCGACGCCGCGUGAAUGACGAAGGCCUUCGGGUCGUAAAGUUCUUUCGACAGGGAAGAAAAUGCCUAUAAGUAACUGUGUAUGUAUUGACGGUACCUGUAUAAGCAGCCCCGGCUAACUCCGUGCCAGCAGCCGCGGUAAUACGGAGGGGGCGAGCGUUGUUCGGAGUGACUGGGCGUAAAGAGCACGUAGGCGGUGUUGUAAGUCAUUAGUCAAAGACUAGAGCUCAACUUUAGUAAGGCUAGUGAUACUAUAAUACUAGAGUAUCAGAGAGGAUUGCAGAAUUCCUGGUGUAGCGGUGAAAUGCGUAGAUAUCAGGAGGAAUACCGUUAGCG